rnacentral:lncRNA from 1 species
GAGAUACAGAUGAUAUAAAAAAAAUAGGUGUGUAAGCCGUAGAGUAUCACAGCAAAUGAUAUGAUGGAGUAAAAAGACCAGAAAAGAUGUCAGAAUAUUGGGCUUUCACGUGUAGUUACUGUCUCUUACUUGAUCUGUAUCUCUGUUUGCUCACUUAUACCUAAUGGUGUUUCUGUGAAGCUGAAAGAAAUAUGUAAAAGUCAUUAAUUUGGCAGUGAUUAAGCAGCAUCUUGAAGUAGAGAUUCCUUCCAAGUACAUCAUAAGCAGAAUUUAUACCCUUUUUGGCCUUGGCUAAGCACUCUUACGUUCCUCUGCCAUGGUCGAACUGCAUUAGUUGAUAAAAAGAUCUUAAGUGAA